rnacentral:rRNA from 1 species
UACGUAGGGUGCGAGCGUUGUCCGGAAUUACUGGGCGUAAAGAGCUCGUAGGUGGUUUGUCGCGUUGUUCGUGAAAACUCACAGCUUAACUGUGGGCGUGCGGGCGAUACGGGCAGACUGGAGUACUGCAGGGGAGACUGGAAUUCCUGGUGUAGCGGUGGAAUGCGCAGAUAUCAGGAGGAACACCGAUGGCGAAGGCAGGUCUCUGGGCAUUAACUGACGCUGAGGAGCGAAAGCAUGGGGAGCGAACAGG